rnacentral:lncRNA from 1 species
CUGCCAGAGCUAACCAGUGCUGCACAAGCUGAGCAAUAUGGCUUUGAAAAACUCUGCCGUCCUCCUCCUCGGGCUUCUUCUCUCUUGCGUUGCCAUGAGCAGUGCGGCGAGAAUCCUAGAAGAAACUGUCCCGUCCAAGGAGGAGCACCUGCCACCUAAGCCUGAGCUACCCAAGGUAGAACUGCCACCAUUCCCGGAAGUGCACCUGCCACCUAAGCCUGAGCUUCCCAAGGUAGAACUGCCACCAUUCCCGGAAAUGUACCUGCCACCUAAGCCCGAGCUUCCCAAGAUGGAGCUGCCGCCGGUCCCGGAGGUGCACAUGCCACCCAAGCCGGAGCUGCCCAAGGUGGAGCUCCCAACGUUCCCGGAGGUUCACAUACCAUCCAAGCCGGAGAUGCCCAAGGUGGAGCUGCCGCCCAAGCCUGAGAUGCCCACUGUUCCAGGGUUCCACCUCCCGGAGCCGGAGGCCAAGCCAUGAGAAUGGGAGCUGCCUUAUCAAUAUCGUUGCCUUGUUGUACCUGCUCUGCUCCUCGUACAUGUACCUAUCGUUGUGCUGUGUCGAUGAUCUGAUUGUUUAGUUGUGGUUUUCAGCGAGUGUUGUGAGUGAUCUGCUUAUAUAUUGCUAUACAUGAGAAAUGUAUAUUUUGUUCUCACAAUUACCUUUUUCUCGAAAGGUUGCAUGCUUCCUUACAACAAUUUUCACAGCAAGCUUUGAUUGCAUAAAAAGUCUAAACAUGUUUUCCUCAACCUCAAGCCGUCCUAGAUUUAACAUUUCCCAUGGAUAAUUAAACAUAAAAAGCCUAAACAUUUUUCUUCGACCUCAAGCUGUUCUAAAUUUAACACCCGAUAUUUACAACCCGCACAUUGUUGUUGAGUUUGCGUCAAUAGUACUAAUUCUGAUGAGUAAGAGCAUCUCUACCAGACACCCGCCCUCGGGCGUAUAAUGCACCGACCCACAAAAUAACUACCAAAUACGGGUCGGGCGUCCAACCCGUAAAUUUUUUUGAGGGGCGCGGCAAAAUCCCCUCUCCGGCCAGCGAAAACACAGGUUUUCGCCUCGCUUAUACGAGGCCGUGUAUCCCAGGAAAACGGUUGGAGGAAGGGACAUUUCAGCCCACACCCUUUCCCCACCCCCUUCCGUCAUCGCCCCGUCAUUGGUUCCGCCCGUCCGUCGCCGGAGAUUCCGGCCAAAUCCGCGGGCUGAAUCGCGCCGCGGGGGCGCCCGUGCCCUCUUCCGCCGAGCCGCCGCACCGGCUCCCCUGGAUCCGCCAGUCCACCGCGAUCAGAGAGCCACCGCCGGAGAUGGAGUUGAGCCUGUGCGAGAAGUUUUUGCUCGAGGAUUCAUCCGAUUCGGAUGACUCGGAUGUUGAGAUGAUGCUUCUCACAUUUCGCCAACAGAGUUUGAUGAUGGCCCUGGCCGUGAAGGAGCACGAAGACGAGAACCUAAAAAGGCGGCAAGGAUCAACCGUCGACCGUCUUUGCAUUCCUCCAAAUCGCCAUCUCAGAAACGAGAUGCUGAUGCAAGACUACUUCGCGGCCAAUCCAACAUAUCCGUCGCACCUCUUCCGAAGAAGGUACCGUAUGCGCAGAUCCCUCUUUUUAAAAAUUGUUCAAGCUUGCGAGGCCAAUUGUCGAUAUUUUACUCAAAUAAGAAAUGCCGUGUGCUUGAAGGGAUUUAGUGCAUAUCAAAAAUCUCGGCAACUAUGCGGGUAAUUGCAUACGGCGUUCCGACUGACUAUGCAGAUGAGUACCUUCGCAUCGAGGAAGAUAGUACAAUUGAGUCGAUGCGUAGGUUUGCCAAAGUGAUCGUCCGUGUCUUUGGUCCUCAAUAUCUUCGGGCACCGAACGAGGAAGACACAAAAACUUUAAUGGCAUUUAAUGAAAGAAGAGGUUGGUCUGGCAUGCUAGGAAGCAUAGAUUGUAUGCAUUGAACUUGGAAAAGUUGCCCAAAGGCAUGGCAGGAAAUCUAUUGUGGCAAGUCUUGUGAUGCAACAAUUAUGAUAGAGCCCGUAGCAUCACAUAAUUUAUGAAUUUGGCAUUGCUUUUUUGGUAUGCCGAAUACUCUCAAUGAUAUCAAUGUGUUGAAGUGGUCUCAAAAGGAUCCCAUUGAGCACCAUUGGCAAAGGGCCGAGCAAUAACACGUUCCAUUUUCCAUUCAUUUUCAUUUCAUUCAUGUGUGAUCUGUAUACGGGCAAGUUUUAUAUCGGAUUAUUUAGUUUGCUAUGGUGAUUUGAAUAAUUAUAGUAAUUAUUGUAAUAUUGACAUUUUACUUAUAUUGGACAUUAGCAAUUCUGAUUUACAGGGUCUUUGGUUUAUGGAUCGACGCGGUGGCACCCGAGCAGACCCCGCAUUACCAACCCGUGAAAAAACAUCUUCUGUAAAUAUCCUUUUUUACAGGUCCGCUUUACAGGGUCUGACUCUAUCCGCGCCCGUGCCGGUUCGUAAAACCCUUUUUUCGUGAACUGUAAACGAGUUUUGUGGAUUGGCUUUAUACGGGGUCUGCUAUAGAUGCUCUAAGAGGGUGUCUCAGGGUGUCACCAGAAUCACAUUGUUCUUGGGUGUGUGGGCGUUCUCACUUCUGUGUUGUAUGGCUGCUUGGUCUCUUCUUCUGUAAUUUUUUUCCUUUGAUCUGGUCCUUCUUUAACUAUGAUGUCCUUAUCCUUGAAAGGAAGUAGUCAACCGGUGAACACUCCUUCUGUUCUUAAAUAUAAGUUUUUUAAAAUUUUCACUAGAAAAAUACGUAUAAAUGUAUAUAAACAUACAUUAAAGUACAGAUACACUUAUUUUGCUUCAUAUGUAAUCGUAUUGUAGAUUCUUUAAAAAGACUUAUAUUUAAGAUUGAAGGGAGUAUAUGACUAGCAUCCAGCGAAUGGAGGUGGCAAUGAUCUGGGUGUCAAGUGUCAACACAAGCCGCUGAUGAGGAGUGCCGGACCACCUUUUUGUUACCUUGCUCCGGAUUUGGUGUUCAGUUUGGUGGGCAAAUAUGUCUCAAGUUGUUCUUUUGUAGGAUGAAAUCUAGGUUCAAAAGCCAAAUAAUAGCACAACAACAACCAAACCAACGUUACCGAGUGCUCAACUCUAAAGUGGCACACCAACAGAGCAACACAUCGCUAAUUACGCGACUGAGCAAGCAAAUUAAGUGUAGCUAAAGUAAUUAUCUUAAUAAUAGUUUGGAGACAAAUAGGAAGCUACCAGCUUCAUGACCCUGGCAAGUGAACUCCUCUCUCCUCGCCUCCCUUGCUGAUGUAACAAGGUGCUCCUAGGGUUCCUCCNNNNNNNNNNNNNNNNNNNNNNNNNNNNNNNNNNNNNNNNNNNNNNNNNNNNNNNNNNNNNNNNNNNNNNNNNNNNNNNNNNNNNNNNNNNNNNNNNNNNCCGCCUCGCACUCCUCGAUGGUCCUCCCUAACCGCGCCUGGACGGCCGCCGCGACACCGUCCCGCUCGGCGCUGGCCCUCGCAGCCACGGGCCUGGACCGACCGAACUGCCCGCUGGCCUCCCGCGCCGCCCCGCUUCGGCCUCCGCCUGCCCCCUCGGCCUCGUUUCCCCGGCGAGAAGGCCCCUCCGGAGACUCCCCGAGCUCCAUCGCCUCCUUGCCCGUCGGUGGAGAAGGGAAUGGAUAAGCUAGGAUGCUCAUUGAAAUUCUUACAAAUGUAGGGAGCUUUUUGAAACAAUGAAGCGUUUUCUCAGAUUCACUUAAGAAGGGACUGCGGGUUGAUUCUCCAAAAACAGGAGGGUUUUUUUUACAAAAAUGCCACGACGGACCACAGAAGCAGUCGGCGCUUUAUUAUUAUUAGGGAGAGAUUAACCACUACACCAAUAGCACCUUUUCUGUAUGGAUGAUAGCCGUCCAUCUAGUACAAACUGAACGCAUGUGAUGCUUAAAUGGGUUGCAAAUAGUGCGGCCCAGUUUGCACGCACUAGAUUUUUUAAAGAUAUUUAAAAAAUAUAUAUAAUAAAAAUAAUGUUAAAUAUUGUAUUUUUUGUGCAGAUAUAAAUAGUAUAGAUAAUUAUGAUGAUUAGUAAAUAACAACAUUUAAUUAUAAACCCAUGUAUAUUAUAGAAAAAUGGUUAGUAAAUACAGUCAUUCAAGUUACUUACUACAUAAAAAUGUUUAAUGAAUAGAAUAAAAUUAUAGUCUUGCAGCUUAUAUUAAAUUAUUUGUUUGUAUGUAUAUACUUCCUUUAUCCCAGAGUAAGUGUCUUAAAUUUAGUAUAACUUUAUAGUAGACACUUAUUUUGAAACAGAGGAAGUAAUAACUAUAUGUCAUGAAUAUUUAAACGUUAUUUUAUUACUAUGAUUAGAAUUUACUUAAUACAAAUUUCUAAAAGAUAUGAACGGGUGCAAAUGGGCCGCAUUGACAGCAGGCCAUUUCAGCUCGAAGAACGGCUUCACUAUUUACUAAAAAUGAAAAAGAAAGUGUCUUCUACAUUAUGUAGUUGUCCAUGUAAGACAUGAAUGUGUUAGGCGUGUAGUGGCUAGGACAUAGUGUGUGCUAAUCUCCAAUCGCUGGUUUGAAGCGCGAGCACUCUUUUUUGGGUUAAUUUUUAUGAAAAAACAUAGAUACCACCUCACCAUAGGGUUUUUUUUGCGAUAAACAAAUUAUCAAGAUGGUUUUCGCAAAAAAACUGGUCACAAGCCCCUCUCUGCAGUCGAGUCACUGAGAACAGGCCCCAAGCCUAGUUAGCGGUAUGGGUGUAUAUAAUUAAUAUUUGCAUCAUAUUUGCACGCUUGAGCUAAUUUAUUGCACUACAUUGAUGUAUCACCCAAGUUCUAGCAUUAAUGUAACCAUUUGCGCCAAUUUCUAGCUUCAUUAGUGUAAUUGACUCUUGUAAAAAUUGUUGAUACAGUAGAAUGAAUCAUGCAUGGGGACCACAGUCUAAACUUUUCAAAAGAAAAUGAAGAAAAGGAAAUACAUUGAUGUAAAGAUACAUCUCCUUAUAAAUGUACAUUCCGUCUAAAUAGAUGCCAUAGAUAAGCGCUUCACAUCACACAAAUGACUCGCCGAAAAUUCAGACUACACAACCACACGAAAUACACAACACGACCAAUCGGAUACAUGUUGGAGCAUGAGUACAGAGAAGACAAGUAAAGAUAGUCUUCAUGGCUUAGCCUCCGGCUGCUGAAAGUGGAACUCGGGGAUGGUGGGCAUCUCGGGCUUCGUUGGCAACACCUUGGGCAGCUCCGGCUUGGCUGGAAGGUGCACCUCUGGAAACGACGGCAGCUCGGGCUUGGGUGGCAGGUGCACCUGAGGGAACGACGGUAACUCUACCUUGGGCAGCUCUGGCUUAGGCCGCGCUUGGUAUCGGUGUAUUUCAAUACAGAGGUAUUUUAUCUACAGGUGUAAUUUACCGGGCCAGUAGUGAUUUCCGGCCGAAAGCGAAACGACGGCCGGAGGCGUGUAUUGUUUACAGCUGUAUUGCUAAUGAAAACGACAAUCCAAUCAUAACCUUAGGUGGAAGGUGCACCUCCGGGAAUGGCGGCAGCUCGACCUUGGGCAGCGUUGGCAGCUCGGGCAGGUGCUCCUCGCCUUUGGAAGGAGUCGUCUGCUCCUCCAGGAUCCUCGCCCCGCUGCUCAUGGCGACGCACGAGAGUAGCAGCCCGACGAGGAAUGCAGCGGCGUUUCUCGAAGCCAUUUUGAUGGAUGUCUAUGGUUGUCUUGUGAUGUUGUUUCGAUGUGGGAGAGAUAGCAGGUGAUGUGUUCUAUUUAUAGAGCUAAGGAACGCUCGAGUACUGUACGUCUUGUCCAGUGCUUUGCAGCGAGGCUGUUCACCUACUCGACUGCAGUUCCCGGUUUUAUGCGUGCUCCUUAAUUUCGAGUCUCGGUCUGGCCACCUGCUUACAAUUUUGGUGAAGAGAGAUUGAGGAAGUUCCUUCGGUUUUUCGGCUGCUGUUGAGAAUAAUGACCUAGCGAGAACACAAAACUAUUAGGCCAGCUGCUAAGGCAAACUUCAGCGCGCGACCCAUCCGGUCCGGUCAUGUCCGUUCAGGGCAAAACAGAUAAACCCCACGGCCAGCACGCGUCGCCUGAACGCAUUUUAUCCGUUUUUUGUCCGGGCCGAUCCAUUUCCGACGCAAACAUGCGUCCAGUUCGGAUCUUGGCAAACAGCGAGCGGACGUGCUCGAGCCCUCCUCUUGUCCGCGUCGGGGACGCGUGAUAGGCGGCCACCUAUCUCCCACCGUCCGUAUUUACUGCGCACGUCCGAUAGGCCCCGUCUGUCAUCCACUCAGACGGUUGUCAUCCUUCUUUAAGCCGUGGACCGACACAGUGCACGCGCCCACUCCACUCCUGGUGCCUCCUCGGGACCGACACCAAACCCUACCUUUCUCCCCCCUCCCUCGAGUUCUCCGGCNNNNNNNNNNNNNNNNNNNNNNNNNNNNNNNNNNNNNNNNNNNNNNNNNNNNNNNNNNNNNNNNNNNNNNNNNNNNNNNNNNNNNNNNNNNNNNNNNNNNUGCCUGUGGGACCCACCGGCUGGCCAAUGAGGCUCUCGCGUAAGGUUGACGUUGAGCACGCGUUGUACGUCAAUCGUCGCCCCGCGAGUUUCUUCAUGGGCAGGUAGUACGACCGCCUCCACUGUUCCCCACGCCGAGUGCAGUAAUGGAGUGGGAGUGUGACGGUCCGACACUAUGCUAGGUGAUGGAUCAGAGCCGGGGUAGGUCAGCGGCGUGGCCGCUGACGCUCGUACCUGCCGGGCGCCCUGAUCCGGUACCUUUGCUGACGUGUAGCUACCUUUAAUCGUGAGGUCUCUACCUAACCUACGAUCUGAUGUGACUUGUGAUCCUCGGCCAGCUAGCCUGCUUGGCCAGCCAGCUUAAAUGUGGCCGCCUCCUCCCCAGUCCGGCUGGCGGGACCAAGCCAGCUCUGAAGGGUAGGCCGCCUGGAUUCUAGCCGACAGGGGUUGCCUGGUCGGCCAGAAGAGUGGCCGCCUCGUCCUCUAGCCGGCAGGUGAUGCCUAGCCGGCCAGAAAACUUGGGCCUUGGGAAUCUUCAUACAUCCAUGUUUGUUGGGCCGGAAACGAAGAAAUAGGCUUGAUGAGCCUACCCCGGGGUUAUCCCCCAGACACUAGGGUUAUAGGGAAUUGUUAUAUGAGGUUACCGAAGGAUGUUCGGAGUCCCGGAUGAGAUCCUGAAUGUCACGAGGAGCUCCAUAAUGGUCUGGAGGUAAAGAUUGAUAUAUAGGAUGGAUGGGUUUGGACGCCGGAAAUGUUUCGGGCACCACCGGCAAAGUGUCGAGACCACCGGAAGGGUUCCGGAGGCCCACCGGGAGGGGCCACAAGCCCCGAAGGGCUACGUGGGCCAAGUGCGGGAGGGAACCAGCCCCUAGGUGGGCUGGUGUGCCCCCCACACCCAGCCCAUGCGCAACCAAGAGGGAGGGAGGGGAAACCCUANNNNNNNNNNCUGGUGGGCCUAAGGCCCACCUAGGGGUGCGCCACCCCCUCUCCCUGCCUUGGCUGCCGCACCUCCCAUCUGGGGGGGCUGCCGCACCACCUAGGGUGGGAACCCUAGGGGUGGCACACCCCCCUCCCCUCCUCCUAUAUAUAGAGAGGGUUUUGGGGCUGUUUUGCACACAGUUUUCCCUCUCCCUCGGCGCAGCCCUGCUCCCCUCCUUCCUCCUGUCCCACGGUGCUUGGCGAAGCCCUGCCGGGAGACCUCGUCUCUCCAUCGACACCACGCCGUCGUGUUGCUGGAGAUCUUCCCCAACCUCUCCCUCCUCCUUGCUGGAUCAAGGUGCGGGAGACGUCACCGGGCCGUACGUGUGUUGAACGCGGAUGUGUCGUGGUUCGGCACUAGAUCAGAAUCACACCGCGAUAUGAAUCGCCGCGAGUACGACUCCAUCAACCACGUUCUUGCAACGCUUCCGCUUAGCGAUCUUCAAAGGUAUGAAGAUGCACUCACCCCUCUCUCGUUGCUGGUCUCUCCAUAGGAAGAUCUGAAUAUGGCGUAGGAAAAUUUUAAAUUUAUGCUACGUUACCCAACAGUUAUUGGGCCAUAGUUACUACUGUACUAAAUAAUUGUCUCAUGUUACAUGUUGUACAACAACAAUAACAACAACACAUUGUGCUUAGGGACGUGGAAACGUCGAGAUGCUAUUAUAGACCAGCAGCUCACCAUCGUCAUAUGAAGAAACUCCCUUUAGGUCGAUGAAAAGGGAUGCUCUAACUUCUUAGUUUGGACGCCGGCUUGAGUGGCGGAGGAUGUCAUCACUCGCCGGGAUGCAACCUACUAACUAGAGUAACACAUGACAAGAUGAUUGAAAAUCGUCAUGGACUUGUCAUUAACAAGGAAGAUAAAUAAGUGGUAUAAACGUUUUAGACUAGGAUUGUAUUGGAUGCUUACGCAACAUCCAGUCGUGUUGAAUACCAUAAUUAAGUUUGAAGGUGUAUGGACUCUUAGGCUGAAGAGAAUAAUUAGUUGUCGGACCGAUAGUGAAUCAUGAAAUUGUCCUUUGAAUGAUCGUAGCACAUGUGUGGUCGUUUUGAAUGGUUUAUAUAAUGCCCACAUUGUGUGGAACUGUUUAGAGCUCAAGGUGUACUAUUACAAAAUUGAAUUUGAUGUUUUAACAAGUUAUACUCAUAUCUUGUGGACAUUUACAAAUUUUCUAAGUAUUUUUGAAACAUUAAAUUAUUACAAAAUUUGGGUGGUUGUCGAUGAUAUGCUUCCUGUUUUACCUCCAUGUGAGUUUCUCAACCAUAUUUGUCAAGUAAUUUGCAUUUAUAUUUAAAAAUAGUUANNNNNNNNNNNNNNNNNNNNNNNNNNNNNNNNNNNNNNNNNNNNNNNNNNNNNNNNNNNNNNNNNNNNNNNNNNNNNNNNNNNNNNNNNNNNNNNNNNNNUCAAUGUGAUGUAGGCAUGCAUUCCGUGUGUCGUCAUACGUGCUUAGGGAAAAGAAUUUGCAUGGCAUCUAUUCUCCAUCCCUCCCGUGGCAGCGGGGUCCAAGAGGAUACUACAAGAUAUUAAGGUUUUCCUUUUAAUAAAGAACCGGAACAACGCAUUAGCANNNNNNNNNNNNNNNNNNNNNNNNNNNNNNNNNNNNNNNNNNNNNNNNNNNNNNNNNNNNNNNNNNNNNNNNNNNNNNNNNNNNNNNNNNNNNNNNNNNNNNNNNNNNNNNNNNNNNNNNNNNNNNNNNNNNNNNNNNNNNNNNNNNNNNNNNNNNNNNNNNNNNNNNNNNNNNNNNNNNNNNNNNCGUAACUACAACUUGCAAGAUCGGAUCUAAAACACACAUAUAUUUGUGACAACAUAAUAAUUUCAGAUCUGAAAUCAUGGCACUCGGGCCUUAGUGACAAGCAUUAAGCAUGGCAAAGUAGUAGCAACAUCAAUCUCAGNNNNNNNNNNCCCCUCUCCAGAGCCCAAAACGGACUCCAGAUCUGGCCUCCACAUGAAGAACAAGAUGUGGUGGCGCCUCCGUAUCGCAAACGUUAUGAAAUCUUCUCUUCUGAUUUUUUUAGGGAGAAAGUGAAUUUAUAGAGCUGAGUUUGGGGGCAGCAGAGCCACGUGGGCCCCACAAGCCUGGUUGCCGCGGCCAGGGGGGCGCGGCAACGUGGCUUNNNNNNNNNNNNNNNNNNNNNNNNNNNNNNNNNNNNNNNNNNNNNNNNNNNNNNNNNNNNNNNNNNNNNNNNNNNNNNNNNNNNNNNNNNNNNNNNNNNNUCAAAUCAGCCCUAAAACCUCUGUAUAUAUAGGGGGAAGAGGGGGAGCCUUGCCUUGGGGUCCAAGGACCCCUAAGGGCUUCGGCCGAGCCAAGGGGGCAGCCCUCCCCUUCCAAACCGAGUCCAACUAGGUUUGGAAGGAGGAGUCCUUCCCCCUUUUCCCACCUCCUCUUUUUUUCUCUUUGAUUUUCUUUCUAUGGCGCAUAGGGCUCUUUUGGGCUGUCACACCAGCCCACUAAGGGCUGGUGUGCCACCCCCAAUGCCUAUGGGCUUCCCCGGGGNNNNNNNNNNUUCUUUUCUCUUUGAUUUUCUUCCUAUGGCGCAUAGGGAUCUUUUGGGCUGUCCCACCAGCCCACUAAGGGCUGGUGCGACACCCCCAAUGCCUAUGGGCUUCCCCGGGGUGGGUUGCCCCCCCGGUGAACUCCCGGAACCCAUUCGUCAUUCCCGGUACAUUCCCGGUAACUCCGAAAACCUUCCGGUAAUCAAAUGAGGUCAUCCUAUAUAUCAAUCUUCGUUUCCGGACCAUUCCGGAAACCCUCGUGACGUCCGUGAUCUCAUCCGGGACUCCGAACAACAUUCGGUAACCAACCAUAUAACUCAAAUACGCAUAAAACAACGUCGAACCUUAAGUGUGCAGACCCUGCGGGUUCGAGAACUAUGUAGACAUGACCUGAGAGACUCCUCGGUCAAUAUCCAAUAGCGGGACCUAUGCCCAUAUUGGAUCCUACAUAUUCUACAAAGAUCUUAUCGUUUGAACCUCAGUGCCAAGGAUUCAUAUAAUCCCGUAUGUCAUUCCCUUUGUCCUUCGGUAUGUUACUUGCCCGAGAUUCGNNNNNNNNNNGUCAAUAUCCAAUAGCGGGACCUGGAUGCCCAUAUUGGAUCCUACAUAUUCUACGAAGAUCUUAUCGUUUGAACCUCAGUGCCAAGGAUUCAUAUAAUCUCGUAUGUCAUUCCCUUUGUCCUUCGGUAUGUUACUUGCCCGAGAUUCGAUCGUCAGUAUCCGUAUACCUAUUUCAAUCUCGUCUACCGGUAAGUCUCUUUACUCGUUCCGUAAUACAAGAUCCCGCAACUUACACUAAGUCACAUUGCUUGCAAGGCUUGUGUGUGAUGUUGUAUUACCGAGUGGGCCCCGAGAUACCUCUCCAUCACACGGAGUGACAAAUCCCUGUCUUGAUCCAUACUAACUCAACGAACACCUUCGGAGAUACCUGUAGAGCAUCUUUAUAGUCACCCAGUUACGUUGCGACGUUUGAUACACACAAAGUAUUCCUCCGGUGUUAGUGAGUUAUAUGAUCUCAUGGUCAUAGGAACAAAUACUUGACACGCAGAAAACAGUAGCAACAAAAUGACACGAUCAACAUGCUACGUCUAUUAGUUUGGGUCUAGUCCAUCACGUGAUUCUCCUAAUGACGUGAUCCAGUUAUCAAGCAACAACACCUUGUUCAUAAUCAGAAGACACUGACUAUCUUUGAUCAACUGGCUAGCGAACUAGAGGCUUGCUAGGGACAGUGUUUUGUCUAUGUAUCCACACAUGUAAAUGAGUUUUCAUUCAAUACAAUUAUAGCAUGGAUAAAUGGAUAAUAAACGAUUAUCUUGAUACAGGAAUUAUAAUAAUAACUAUAUUUAUUAUUGCCUCUAGGGCAUAACUCCAACAACUAUUACUAUCACGACGUUAAAAACAAAAGUGCAACUAUUGAAACAAGCUUUACUCUUUUGAAUAGCCUGGAGGAUCAUGCAAUACUCGCCCCUUUGAUCUUGAAUUUGAAGAUCAUUUAUGACUCUCAGACAGUCCGAUGCAAUCCGAAUGUUUGGGAUCAUCAAAUCUUCCGCCAAAGCUAUUGCCUCCCUGCAUGCAUGUGCCUCAACCACCGCCGGAUCAAUCACUCCCAUGAGCACUAUCGCAGAAGCUCCCAUGAAAUGUCCCUGUGCAUCACGGCAUAUUACUCCCACCGCCCCGAUAUUGGAGGACUUGGCGACGGCUCCGUCGACAUUCAGCUUCGCCUCACCCGCGGAUGGGGGGAUCCACCUGGGGACAGGCAAGGCAUCAGUCCUCCUUGUCGUACUUUUCUGCGUCGAUGGUCGACCACGCAGCUCAUUAAGGUACCUCUCGAUGAACAGGUGGGUCGAUAGGGGGCUCUGAAAUUCCUUCUCAUGUAUGGCCUUUCGUCGAGCCCACCAAAUCGCCCAUAGUGUGGUCAAGAUAGCGAUGAACCUCUCAGAGGUUAGUGUGUUGCACAUCCCAUGUAACCAUAGCUUCGGGUCUUGCAUUUCAUCCCCAUAGGCUGGAAGUAAGGAAUCAUCGUCAUCAGCCCGCAAAGACCAGACACUGCGUGCCAUAUUGCAGUCCAGUAGCGCAUGGCGCCAGCUAUCCUCCGCCCCUUGACAGAUUGGGCAUGAUGUAUCCACUGUCAUCUGUCGUCUCCCCUCUCCUGUCCCGUUGGUAGUGAGGCUCGAGCGAGCCACCAAGCGAACAACCAAAGUUUUGCCGGCACCUUUGUCCCCCAUAGUUUCUUCCAGUUUGCUUCUUGUCGGUCGGUGUCUGAAGCUUCUGCAUCUCCAUUGAGCCAGAGUUCCCGCCGCAGUUUUGUUGCCACUACCAUUCUGUAGCAUGACCGCACCGUAAACAAACCUGACUUUUCAUAAUGCCAUGCAUAGAAAUCUGUUUGUGCAAUGUAGCUAAGAGGGAUCUUGCGCACGAUAUCAGCAUCCAUGGGGAGCAUGUGAGCAGCCAGAGCAUUGUCAUCCCAACAUCUGUUCGUAUGUGAUAUUAGGUCCGAGACCUUCUCCGGGGGAUUUGCCGAGGUCGCAGCUAAGGGGCGAAGGCAGAAAUCACGGGGCAACCAAUUGUCAUUCCAUAUGUUAGUAUCAUUGCCAUUUCCAAUCCGUUUUACUAACCCUGUCUUGAGAAUAUAUCUACCCUCGCAGAGAGCCCGCCAUACCUGCGAUGGCCGUGAUCCGAGCUGGGAGGACAGAAUGUCUGUGGAUGGAAAGUAGACCGCCUUCAGAAUCCUUGCACUCAUUGUGUUGGGCUCCAUCAUCACCCUCCAAACCUGUUUGGUGAGCAAAGCCAGGUUGAAAAUUUCCAUGUCGCGGAAUCCCAAACCCCCUUUGCACUUUGGCAUGCACAUCGUUUCCCACGAUACCCACGCCGUUUUCCUCUCCCCUGACUUGCACCCCCACCAAAACUUCCGAAUCAUGGCCGUGAUAUGCUGGCAUAACCCCCGUGGUAACUUGAAGAUCGCCAAAGAAUAGGUUGGUAUCGCCUGCACCACUGAUUUUAUAAGAACCUCCUUGCCGCUGCCUGCCAAGCACUUCUCCAUCCACCCUUGGAUAUUCUUCCAUACACGGUCCUUCAGAUACGAGAAUACUCCAUUUUUUGCUUGCCCCACCUCUGAUGGUAAGCCCAAAUAUCUCUCACAGAGUGUCUCCCUGUGUAUUUGAAGAAUGCCUUUGAACACUUCCCUCUGAACUUCUAGGCAUACCUUCCCAAAAUAGAUAGAUGAUUUAUCAUUGUUUAUUCGCUGGCCCGAUGCAUUGCAGUAUGCUGUUAGGAUAUCCUUCAAUUUGUAGGCGUUCUCCGAAGUAGUCUUACUGAAAAGCAAACAAUCAUCCGCAAACAGUAGAUGGUUUACCUUUGGCGCUAGUGCAGCAAUUUGAAUACCUUCAAACACCCCUUCCGUACUGGCUUGAUGCAGCAUACAGGAGAGCCCCUCUACCGCAAUUAGAAACAGGUAUGGGGAGAUCGGAUCCCCUUGCCUAAUACCCCUUGAUGGUUUAAAACCUUCUGUCUGCAUUCCAUUAAAAAGUACGGAGAAAGACACCGAGGUUACCCCUCUCAUGAUCUGGCGCACAAAAACUUCACAGAAACCCAACUUCUUCAUAAUGGCCUCCAGAUAGAUCCAUUCGACUCGGUCGUAAGCUUUCAUCAUGUCCAGCUUUACUGCACAAUGCCCAUUCUUCUUGCUUCUAUUAUUCUUCAUAAAGUGAAGGCAUUCAUAAGCUGUAAUAACAUUAUCAGUGAUCAAGCGGCCUGGCACAAACGCCGAUUGUUCUUCAGAGAUGAUUUUCGGGAGAAUCUGCUUCAGCCGGUUAGCAAGUACUUUGGAUGCAAUUUUAAAGAGCACAUUGCACAAGCUAAUCGGCCGAAACUGAGAUAGCAAUGUGGGGUUUAAUACCUUAGGGAUGAUUACAAUGAACGUACUGUUAAGCUCCUCGAGGGAGUCUUCUCCUUUCAACACUCGAAUAACAAUAUUGGUCACUUCCACACCACAUAAAUGCCAGUAUUUUUGAAAUAAAUGCGUCGGAAAGCCAUCCGGUCCUGGGGCCUUUGUGGGGUACAUUUGAAACAACGCCUUUUUUACCUCUUCCUCCGUUACAACCUGUACAAGCAUCUCGUUCAUAGGUGUGGAGACCUUACAAGGUACAUGUGAUAACACUUCCUCCAUUCCAAUAACCCCCUCCGAAGCAUAUAAAUUCUCAUAGUACUGGACUGUCAUGUGCUGCAAUUCCCCUGGAUCAUCACAUGUGGAUCCGUCAGGGCGCAUCAAGCUCACCAUUGUGUUCUUUUUUCUUCUGCUCGAGGCUUUCUUAUGAAAGAACUUUGUAUUUUUAUCCCCUUCCAUAAGCCACUGGGUACGUGCACGCUGGCACCACAUGAUCUCCUCCCGGAAUCUCAGCUCAAUAAUUCUGUCCUCUAUUUUAACUUCCUCACGGGUUGCUGAAACUCGAUGAGGAUCCUCCCGCAACACCUUAAGNNNNNNNNNNNNNNNNNNNNNNNNNNNNNNNNNNNNNNNNNNNNNNNNNNNNNNNNNNNNNNNNNNNNNNNNNNNNNNNNNNNNNNNNNNNNNNNNNNNNGUCGCGGACGAGGAGGCCGCUCUUCUCCAAGAUGUCGAGGUGGGCACAGAUAAGUGCCACCUCAGGAUGCGGCCUGGGAGUCUUCGCAUCCCAGUUUCGCCGCGUCGGGGGAGCGAUGGCGAACGGGGGCAUGUUGAGGGCAUCCUGGGCCGGGUCGGCGUUCUUCACGUAGAAGAAACCGUUCUGCCAUUGCUUGAUGGAGUCUUGCAGAGGCAUCUGGGGGAAGCUAGACUUCAGGCGAUGAUGCACCAACGCGGCCCCGAACGGCGUCAUGGGGCGCGGCGCCCUGAGCUUCUCCACCUCGGACUUCUCCAUGGCGAUGGAUUGCUGCUUGAAGAAGAAUAGGCUGCGCCACAGAUCGACACGAGGCUCGAUCCCCAUGAAGCCCUCGCACAGGACCACGAAGGCGGCCAGCUACAGUAUGGCGUUCGGCGCCAGAUGAUGCGGCUGCAGGCCGAAGAAUUGAAGCCAUUCGGCGAAGAAGGAGCUAGCCGGGAGCCCGAAGCCCCGGUAGAAGUGCUCAACGAAGACCACGAACUCUCCCACGGCGGGAGCGAGAGCGGUCUCGGAGCUGGGGAGGCGCACCGACACUUGGGAGGCCGAGGGCAGCAGUCAAUGGUGACGAAGCGCCUCGAUGUGCCCCUCGUCGACGUCGCUGCCCAACCAGGCCCCCUGCCAGGACGCCUUCUGUGCCGACGACUUCUUCGAUGAAGAACCGCCGGGCAUGGCUGCGGGUGGCGAGAGUUCGAAGUGGUCGGCGAUGUCGCGACGACGAAGAUAAAGAAGACGAAGGGCGCGAGCUCUUCUUCUCAGGACGCAGGAAGGGAGAGAGCGCAGAUACAGGGCGAGAAGAGGGGGCGAAUGGUUUCCUCAGAACCCUCGCGUCCCAUUUAAACCCCCACGAAGCGUCGAGCCCCAUUAAUCCCGUGUAUUACGGGCGGUAACGUUCCCCUAAGCCCAACCGCCGCGGAGUAAAUCCGCAGAGGAUGUCCCGCGCGGAGGCCGAGGGGGCGUCGUGGCGGGACCGAGGGCCCAUGACCGGUCCCGUCAGCAGUAAUCGCCAUCAUUACGCCUGGCGGGGCCUGGCACGUGGCGUUCUACGAGCAAGUUACGACUAGACCGAGGCGUCGCUUUGAAGUCACCUGGUUUCGAAGCCGGCAUCCUUCACCGCGAAGGGCGGCCAAAAUAUCAAGACAAAUCAACAAGCCGGUGAGGCCGCCCGCCCGCAGGCGGUAGACCUCGCCAGCUUCGGGGACUACUGUCGGGGGGAUAACCCCGGGGUAGGCUCAUCAAGCCUAUUCCUUCGUUUCCGGCCCAACGGACAUGGAUGUAUGAAGAUUCCCAAGGCCCAAGUUUUUUGGCCAGCUAGGCAUCACCUGCCGGCUAGAGGACGAGGCGGCUACUCUUCUGGCCGACCAGGCAACUCCCGCCGGCUAGAAUCCAGGCGGCCUCCCCUUCAGAGCUGACCUGGUCCCGCCAGCCGGACUGGGGAGGAGGCGGCCACAUUUAAGCCGGCUGGCCAAGCAGGCUAGCUGGCCGAGGAUCACAAGUCACAUCAGAUCGUAGGUCAGGUAGAGACCUCACGAUGCUACGCGUCAGCAAAGGUACUGGAUCAGGGCGUCCGAGAGGUACGAGCGUCAGCGGCCACGCCGCUGACCUACCCCGGCUCUGAUCNNNNNNNNNNCAUAGUGUCGGACCGUCAAACUCCCACUCCAUUACUGCACUCGGCAUGGGGAACAGUGGAGGCGGUCGUACUACCUGCCCAUGAAGAAUCUCGCGGGGCGACGCUUGACGUACAACGCGUGCUCAGCGUCAACCUUACGUGAGAGCCUCAUUGGCCAACCGGCGGGUCCCACAGGCAAUCGAGACCAUGCAGCCGACGACCCCCCCAUCGACAAGACAAGACCCUUGUGGGCCCCUGGCCAGCCGGCGAAGCUGCCAGUCAGGUCCCAUACUUGUAUCCUUUAUCCAUAUUGUAGGCCGACGGGUUCGUCUAUAAAACCCCCGGUUGCCCCUCAUGCAAGGGGACCGAUCCUUCACCAGUCAUUCAACACAACACAUUCACCAACCACAGAGAGAGAGGUAGAGACGAGCCGGCUGCUCCCCUCUUCCUCCUCCCAACACAGCUCCAGGAGCGACAUUGUACUCUGUUCCUAUGCAUCAAACACUCCGGCAGGAUUAGGGGUAUUAUCUCUACGGAGAGCCCUGAACCUGGGUACAUCGUGCGUCCCAUGCGUGUACCAACCUCAUUCCCAGCGCCCACCUUUGUCCCUUCGGUUCUCACUGACUUUAGCCUACCUAUGGCAUAUGUUAUGAGUAUUCACCCACAUUUGGCGCCCACCAUGGGGCCGAUCGCGACAUCGGCUGGCUUUACUCGCUGGGCGGGGCCCCGCACCUACACCACCGGAUGCAUCGCGUCCGGAUCAGUUUGCAUGCCCGUGGAGCCCGCUUUUGACGAGGCGACACCCAUGAUGAUCGACGUCCGCGUCCGCCAUGCGGAUUCGGACGAAGAUUCCGACGACGAGGCGCUUCCUAGCAUCGUCGUCGCCACUAUGGAGAACCUCAGCGUUCUCUUCAGCGACCUUCGUCUCAACGAUGGCCCGUGCUACUUCGGCGAGGACUUCGACGUUGAGGCGCUCUGCGCCAGCUUCAGCAGGCUCUCUAUCGCUGAGAUGCCUGCCCACGAUGUUUAUCCCAGUAACGUCCUCGUCUUCGACGGCCCUCCACCGUCGGUGGGGUUCUUCACCCCAUACCACGUUGCUGUCGUCUCCAACACCGUGGAGGUGAUGGUUAUCAGCGCUGGCACCAGCACGGCUCCCGGCAAGGCCUCCGCAGGCGCUGGCGAGCCCACUGCGGCCACCGUUGAUACUCUUUGGGACGCCAUCGCCGGCCUGAAGACACCGGUCACCACUUCCGCCGACCCUGCUGACGCUCGGGCCUCGCUGGAGGAGGCUCGCAAGCGUAUCUUGGAGGAGGGCAUUGCCGUAGCUUCGGCGAAACGUCGGUUGGAGGCUACGCAGCGCGAGUAUAACUCCGCAUACGGUCUCACUCUGAUUUCCGAGGCCCCUAGCCGACUUGGAUCGGUCCGCAGCCGUGACCGGUUCAUCGCCGAGGUUCUAGGCGGCGAUCUGCCCACCUACGAGACUCCUGCGGCCAACAUGCGAGCGGCGCAGGAAGCCAUGGAGGAGAUGGCAAGCCUGGAAGGCGAGGAGCGCGCNNNNNNNNNNNNNNNNNNNNNNNNNNNNNNNNNNNNNNNNNNNNNNNNNNNNNNNNNNNNNNNNNNNNNNNNNNNNNNNNNNNNNNNNNNNNNNNNNNNNGUUCAUGCUUGCACUCCAUGUUAGUCAAACUCAUUGCAUCUUGAUGUCUGUUGUCGCUCUCUAGUUGGUCGCCUCCCAGUCUUUUGCUAGCCUUCACUUGUAUUAAGCGGAAUACUGCUUGUGCAUCCACUUCCAUAAACCCAAAAGUUUUUCCAUGAGAGUCCACCAUACCUACCUAUUUGCGGUAUCUACCUGCCGUUCCAAGUAAAUUUGCAUGUGCCAUUCUCUAAACCUUCAAGAAAUAAUCUGUUUUGCAUGCUCGAACCGCUCAUGUGGUGACAGGGAGCUAUUAGUAUCUUCCAUGCUAGGAGUGUUAUCCUCGACAUGUGUUUAUUCACUGUUAUUCACGAGAAAGGGGGCGGUAAUUGGAAUGCCCAGUUCCACGCUUAAAUCGAAAACAUAACUAUCAAACAAGACCCCCCCCCCCCCNNNNNNNNNNCGCAUGCGCCAUUCUCUAAACCUUCAAGAAUUAAUCUGUUUUGCAUGCCCGAACAGCUCAUGUGGUGACAGGGGGCUAUUGGUAUCUUCCAUGUUAGGCGUGUUAUCCUCGACAUGUGUUUAUUGACUGUCAUUCACGAGAAAGGGGCCGGUAAUUGGAAUGCCCAGUUCCACGCUUAAAUCGAAAACAUAACUGUAAAACAAGACUCCCCCCGGAUUGAUGUUAGUAUGGACGGUACCCGAGGAUUCGGCUAGCCGUGGAGUGUGAUUGAUUGGUGGUGGGGGAGUUAAAACUUUACUUUUCUGUUUGGGAACCCCCUAUAGCAUGAGUAGCAUGGAAGAUAUUGAGAACUCUUGGUCAUUGCAUUGACAAUGAAAGCAUGCCACCCAAAAUUAUUAUCUCUGUUUUCAAAGCUUGAGCUCUGGCACCUCUGCAAAUCAAUGCUUCCCUCUGCGAAGGGCCUGUCUAUUUAUUUUCCUGUUGAGUCAUCCUCUUCUUAUAUAAGCACCAAUUAGAGAGCACAUCUAUCAUUUUUAUGCUUUGCUUUUGAUUGAUAUUGAGUAUGAAUAUGACUGGAUCUUCGUUGCUAUGAAUUACAAUGUUUAGUCAGCCCUUGAUCUUUGGAAGUGCUUUGCAUUUAUGUUUUGCGGUCUCAGAAAGAGCUAGCGAGAUACCACCUAUUUGUAUUGCUUCAUGCUUGUUUCGAUUGAAUUGUUGGUAUCUGAAACUCAUUAUUAUUUGCUCGCUAGCUGAUUAUGCCAUUGAUAUUAGUUUACCGUGAGACCUAUUUGUCACUUGCUUAUGUGGUUAACUUGUGAUCUUGCUAAAAUUCUGGUUACGAGUUAGACAUAGUUGCAACAACAAGAUCAAACAGAGUUUGUCAAAGUUUUUCUUUCUCUCUCAGUUUGUCAACUGAGUUGCUUGAGGACAAGCAAGGUUUUAAGCUUGGGGGAGUUGAUACGUCUCCAUCGACUCUACUUUUCCAAACUCUUCAGCCCUUGUUUUGGACUAUAAUUUGCAUGAUUUGAAUGGAACUAACCUGGACUGACACUGUUUUCAGCAAAAUUGCCUUGGUGUUAUUUUUGUGCAGAAAUCAAAGUUCUCCAAACGACCUGAAAAUUUAUGGGGAGCAGUUUUGGAAAAUAUAAAAAAUAUAUGCGCCAAGUUCUACCUCACGGGGUUGGCCAGUGGGCCACAAGCCCUGGCUCCGCCACCACCCCCUGGUGGCGGUGGGUAGGCUUGUGGGGCCAAAACGGCUCUGCCGCCCCCAAUCUGAGGUCUAUAAGAUCCCUUUCAUCCCAGAAAAAAUAAAAAGAGAAGUUUUCGUCGCGUUCACGAUACGGAGGCGCCGCCACCACCUGUUCUUCAUCUGGGGGCAGAUCUGGAGUCCGUCUUGGGCUCCGGAGAGGGGAAAUCGUCGCCAUCGUCAUCAUCAACCUUCUUCCCUCUCCAAUUCCAUGAAGGUCUUCGUCGUUCGUGAGUAAUCUAUUCGUAGGCUCGCUGAGCGGUGAUGAGUAGGAUGAGAUCUAUCAUGUAAUCGAGUUAGUUUUGAUGGGGAUUGAUCCCUAGUAUCCACUAUGUUCUGAGAUUGAUGUUGCUACUACUUUGCCAUGCUUAAUGCUUGUCACUAGGUCCCGAGUGCCAUGAUUACAGAUGUGAUAUUAUUAUGUUGUCACCAAUAUAUGUGUGUUUUAGAUCCGAUCUUGCAAGUUGUAGCUACCUACUAUGUGUUAUGACCCGGCAACCCCGGAGUGACAAUAACCGGAACCACUCCCAGUGAUGACCAUAGUUUGAGGAGUUCAUGUGUUCACCAAGUGCUAAUGCGUUGUUCCGGUUCUUUAUUAAAAGGAGAACCUUAAUAUCCCGUAGUAUCCUCUUGGACCCCGCAGCCACGGGAGGGAUGGACAAUAGAUGUCAUGCAAGUUCUUUUCCCUAAGCAUGUAUGACGACACACGGAAUGCAUGCCUACAUCACAUUGACGAAUGAGAGCUAGCCACAUAUUUCUCCGUGUUAUAACUGUCGCAUGAUGAAUGUCAUCCAAACGAAUCACCGACCCAUUGCCUACGAGUUUGUNNNNNNNNNNAGAAUGGGAGCUAGCCAGAUAUCUCUCCGUGUUAUAACUGUUGCACGAUGAAUGUCAUCCAAACGAAUCACCGACCCAUUGCCUACGAGUUUGUCCACUGCUAUUACUUGUUUUGCUCUGUUGCUGUUACUACUGUUGUUGUUGCUGUACUUGUUUUGCUCUGCUGCUGUUACUACUGUUGCUGCUGCUAUUACUNNNNNNNNNNNNNNNNNNNNNNNNNNNNNNNNNCUGCUGUUACUACUAUUGUUGCUGCUGUUACUUGUUUUGCUCUGCUGCUGUUACUACUGUUGCUGCUGCUAUUACUUGCUCUGCUCUGCUGCUACUUGCUACUGCUGUUACUUGCUACUGUUGCUACUUGCUACUGCUGUCAUUACUGUUGGUCCUUGCCACUGCUGUUACUCAUUACACUGCUGCUACCUGCUACAAUACUUUUUCUCUCGACGUUGACGGGAAAGAAUAUUUCCCGUCCACGGGCAACUUCUGGCGCCAUNNNNNNNNNNCUACUGUUGUUCCUUGCCAUUGUUGUUACUCGUUACACUGCUGCUACCUGCUACAAUACGUUUUCUCUCAAUGUUGACGGGAAAGAAUAUUUCCCGUCCACGGGCAACUUCUGGCGCCAUNNNNNNNNNNNNNNNNNNNNNNNNNNNNNNNNNNNNNNNNNNNNNNNNNNNNNNNNNNNNNNNNNNNNNNNNNNNNNNNNNNNNNNNNNNNNNNNNNNNNUAAAGUAAAUGCACGAAAAAUACCAAAUGGAGUCAGAAAUUGUUGAAAAUUUGUGAUGUGCAUUUUAAUGGUGCAUUUGAACACACAAAAAGUAUGGAGUUUAAAUAUGUUUAAAAAAUGAAAUCCCUUUGUAACACAUGAGUUCUCGUUCGUAACCCUGAUACUUCGAGAGAGAUUGUCCGUUUUAUACACGAAAUGCAUUCAGUUUUUGUCGUAACCCUCUCAACUUUUUAGCACAUGCUAUGUGGGUGAAAUGAUGAUACCAUUCCAACUUUCAAUAUUUUCAGAGUUUAUUUGUAGUGUUUUUCAAUUUCAGGGUCAACUUGCUCAAAAAAAUAAAGUAAAUGCACGAAAAAUACCAAAUGAAGUCAGAAAUUGUUGAAAAUUUGUGAUGUUCCUUUCGAUGAUGCAUUUUUAACACACAAAAAGUAUGGAGUUCAAAUAAGUUCAAAAAAAUGAAAUCACUUUGUAACACAUGAGUUCUCGUUCGAAACCCUGAUAAUUCGAGAGAGAUUGUUCGUUUUGUACAUGAAGUGCAUCCAAAUAGAAGAGAAAAAAAGAAAGUAAAGUUAUUCACAAAUUUUAAAGAAUUCAAAUAUUUGUGUGUUAACAUUCUCUGUUUUCGUGUGUUCCAAAGUUGAGAGGGUUACGAUAAAAACUCGAUGCACUUCUUGUACAAAAACUGGAUUUUAAAGAAUUCAAAUUUUAAUAUUUAGUUUUUUCUCUUUUUAUACACGAAAGGCCUGGGGUGGCGGCAUUCUAAAGUUGAGAGGGUUACGACAAAAACUGGAUGCACUUCAAAUUUUAAAAUUAACCCUCUUUUAUGUUAAAUAUUAAAUAUAAAAUAGUUGUAAGUAGAAUUUAUAGUAAGUUGAGAGGGUUAUGCUAAAUUUUAAUAUAUAUAUAUAUAUAUAUAUAGUUGUUACAAAGAAUCUUUAGCUGUAAGUAGAAUUUAUAGUAAAUUUGAAUUCAACUUACUAUAAAUUUAUUGUAAAUUUGAAUUCAACUUACUAUAAAUUCUACUUACACCUAUGCUAAAUUUUCAUAACCCUCUUCUAUGUUAAAUAUUAAAAUUUAAAGUCAUCCUGUAAAUCCCUUUGUAAAAGAAUCAAGUAAAACAUUAACUAAAAAGAAACAAAAAAAUCAACUAAAAAGAAUUUUCAUAAAGUUUUUGGGUUAAAAUCUUUCAUAGAAAACAAAAAUAGAAGAUAAAAAAUGAAAGUAAAGUUAUUCACAAAUUUUAAAGAAUUCAAAUUUGAAAACUAAAUAUUUAGCUGUAACUAGAAAAAAAAUAAAGCAAAGAACAAAACAAAAAUAAUGGAAAAAAAUUGAAACUAUAUGAGAAUUUAUAGAGAAAAUUCAACCUAAAUUCAAAGUGACAUCACUUUCCAAAGUGACCUCACUUUGAAUUUAGGUUGAAUUUUGUCCAUAAUAUCAAAUAUAUUUUCAAUUUUUAAAUUUACAGUGCGUUUAGGCCCGUAAACGUGCUUUAGAGAGGAGCUCGACGCGGUUGGGACAGUGGGGCUUAUAAACCAGUCGCAGAUUCUCUGGACAGGCGAGGUGGGACUAAACUUUGGAAUAACGCCAGCCCAGGCCUUUAGUCCCGGUUCGUGGCACGAACCGUGACUAAAGACCCCCUUUAGUCCUGGGUCGAGCACUAGGGGAAGAAGGAGUAGUGACCAUCAUCGACGGUCAAAAAAUCAAGUGAGGGAGUGUCCACCAUAUAUGAGAGAAGAAGAAUGUCGACUAUUGUUGUGGGGGUCGCUUUUCCUUCUUCUCCUUGUGCUAGAUAUUUGUUAUGCACUAGGGAAAGUAGGAGUAGCGACCAUCAUGGACGGUCGAAAAAUCAGGUGAGGGAGUGUCCACCAUAUAUGAGAGAAGAAGAAUGCCAACUUUUGUUGUGGGGGUCGCUCUUCCUUCUUCUCCUUAUGCUAGAUAUUUGUUAUGAACUAGGGGAAGUAGGGGUAGCGACCAUCAUCGACGGUCGAAAAAUCAUGUGAGGGAGUGUCCACCAUAUAUGAGAGAAGAAGAAUGUCGACUGUUGUUGUGGGGGUCGCUUCUCCUUCUUCUCCUUGUGCUAGAUGAGUUCAAAUAAGUUCAAAAAAAUGAAAUCCCUUUGUAACAGAUGAGUUCUCGUUCGAAACCCUCAUACUUCGAUAGAGAUUGUCCGUUUUGUACAUGAACAGCAUCAAGUUUUGUCGUAACCCUCUCAACUUUUUAGCACAUGCUACGUGGGUGAAAUGAUGAUACAAUGCAAACUUUCAACAUUUUCACAAUUCAUUUGUAGUGCUUUUCAAUUUCAGGGUUAACUAGCUCAAAAAAAUAAAGUAAAUGCACGAAAAAUACCAAAUUAAGUCGGAAAUUGUUGAAAAUUUGUGAUGUGCCUUUGAAUGGUGAAUUUCGAACACAAAAAAGUAUGAGUUCGAAUAAGUUCAAAAAAAUGAAAACCCUUUGUAACGGAUGAGUUUUCGUUCGAAACCCUGAUACUUCGAGAGAGAUUGUCCGAUUUGUACAUGAAGGGCAUCCAGUUUUUGUCGUAACCCUCUCAACUUUUUAGCACAUGCUAUGUGGGUGAAAUGAUGAUACCAUGCCAACUUUCAACAUUUUCAGAGUUCAUUUCUAGUGCUUUUCAGUUUCAGGGUCAACUAGCUCAAAAAAAAUAAAGUAAAUGCACGAAAAAUNNNNNNNNNNAAGAACUCAGAAAUUAUUGAAAAUUUGUGAUGUGCCUUUGAAUGGUGUAUUUGGAACACACAAAAAGUAUGGAGUUCAAAUAAGUUCAAAAAAUGAAAUGUCUUUGUAUGAGAUGAGUUCUCGUUCGAAACCCUCAUACUUCGAGAGAGAUUGUUCGUUUUGUACACGAAGUGCAUCCAGUUUUUGUCGUAAUCCUCUCAACUUUUUAGCACAUGCUAUGUGGGUGAAAUUAUGAUACCAUGCCAACUUUUAACAUUUUCAUAGUUCAUUUGUAGUGCUUUUCAAUUUCAGGGUCAAAUAGCUCAAAAAAAUAAAGUAAAUGCACGAAAAAUACCAAAUGAGGUCAGAAAUUGUUGAAAAAUUGUGAUGUUCCUUUGAAUGGUGCAUUUUGAACACACAAAAAGUAUGGAGUUCAAAUAAGUUCAAAAAAAUGAAAUCCCUUUGUAAGAGAUGAGUUCCCGUUCGAAACCUUGAUACUUCGAGAGAGAUUGUCCGUUUUGUACACGAAGUGCAUCCAGUUUUUGUCGUAACCCUCUCAACUUUUUAGCACAUGCUAUGUGGGUGAAAUGAUGAUACCAUGCCAACUUUCAACAUUUUCAGAGUUCAUUUGUAGUGCUUUUCAAUUUCAGGGUCAACUAGCUCAAACAAAUAAAGUAAAUGCACGAAAAAUACCAAAUGAAGUCAGAAAUUCUUGAAAAUUUUUGAUGUGCCUUUUAAUGGUGUAUUUUGAACACACAAAAAGUAUGGAGUUCAAAUAUGUUACAAAAUGAAAUCCCUUUGUAACACAUGAGUUCUCGUUCGUAACCCUCAUACUUCGAGAGAGAUUGUCCGUUUUGUACACGAAGUGCAUCCAGUUUUUGUUGUAACCCUCUCAACUUUUUAGCACUUGCUAUGUGGGUGAAAUGAUGAUACCAUGCCAACUUUUCAAUAUUUUCAGAGUUUAUUUGUAGUGCUUUUCAAUUUCAGGGUCAACUUGCUCAAAAACAUAAAGUAAAUGCACGAAAAAUACCAAAUGAAGUCAGAAAUUUUUGAAAAUUUGUGAUGUUCCUUUGAAUGAUGUAUUUUUAACACACAAAAAGUAUGGAGUUCAAAUAAGUUCAAAAAAAUGAAAUCACUUCGUAAUAGAUGAGUUCUCGUUCGAAACCCUGAUAAUUCGAGAGAGAUUGUCCGUUUUGUACACGAAGUGCAUCCAAAUAGAAGAGAAAAAAUGAAAGUAAAGAUAUUCACAAAUUUUAAAGAAUUUAAAUGUUUGUGUGUUAACAUUCUCUCUUUUUGUGUGUUCCAAAGUUUAGAGGGUUACGAUAAAAACUGGAUUCACUUUGUGUACAAAAACUUAAUUUCCAAGAAUUCAAAUUUUAAUAUUUAGUUUUUUCUCUUUUUGUACACUAAAGGCCUUGGGUGGUGGCAUUCCAAAGUUGAGAGGGUUAAGACAAAAACUGAAUGCACUUCAAAUUUUAAUAUUAACCCUCUUUUAUGUUAAAUAUUAAAUAUUAAAUAGCUGUAAGUAGAAUUUAUAGUAAGUUGAGAGGGUUACGCUAAAUUUUAAUAUAUAGCUGUUACAAAGAAUCUAUAGCNNNNNNNNNNNNNNNNNNNNNNNNNNNNNNNNNNNNNNNNNNNNNNNNNNNNNNNNNNNNNNNNNNNNNNNNNNNNNNNNNNNNNNNNNNNNNNNNNNNNGGAAUACUUUGUGUGUAUCAAACGUCGCAACGUAACUGGGUGACUAUAAAGAUGCUCUACAGGUAUCUCCAAAGGUGUUCGUUGAGUUAGUAUGGAUCAAGACUGGGAUUUGUCACUCCGUGUGACGGAGAGGUAUCUCGGGGCCCACUCGGUAAUACAACAUCACACACAAGCCUUGCAAGCAAUGUGACUUAGUGUAAGUUGCGGGAUCUUGUAUUACGGAACGAGUAAAGAGACUUGCCGGUAAACGAGAUUGAAAUAGGUAUACGGAUACUGACGAUCGAAUCUCGGGCAAGUAACAUACCGAAGGACAAAGGGAAUGACAUACGGGAUUAUAUGAAUCCUUGGCACUGAGGUUCAAACGAUAAGAUCUUCGUAGAAUAUGUAGGAUCCAAUAUGGGCAUAGGUCCCGCUAUUGGAUAUUGACCGAGGAGUCUCUCAGGUCAUGUCUACAUAGUUCUCGAACCCGCAGGGUCUGCACACUUAAGGUUCGACGUUGUUUUAUGCGUAUUUGAGUUAUAUGGUUGGUUACCGAAUGUUGUUCGGAGUCCCGGAUGAGAUCACGGACGUCACGAGGGUUUCCGGAAUGGUCCGGAAACGAAGAUUGAUAUAUAGGAUGACCUCAUUUGAUUACCGGAAGGUUUUCGGAGUUACCGGGAAUGACGAAUGGGUUCCGGGAGUUCACCGGGGGGGGGGGCAACCCACCCCGGGGAAGCCCAUAGGCAUUGGGGGUGGCACACCAGCCCUUAGUGGGCUGGUGUGACAGCCCAAAAGAGCCCUAUGCGCCAUAGAAAGAAAAUCAAAGAGAAAAAAAGAGGAGGUGGGAAAAGGGGGAAGGACUCCUCCUUCCAAACCUAGUUGGACUCGGUUUGGAAGGGGAGGGCUCCCCCCCUUGGCUCGGCCGAAGCCCUUAGGGGUCCUUGGACCCCAAGGCAAGGCUCCCCCUCUUCCCCCUAUAUAUACAGAGGUUUUAGGGCUGAUUUGACACAACUUUGCCACGGCAGCCCGACCACAUAUCUCCACGGUUUUACCUCUAGAUCGCGUUUCUGCGGAGCUCGGGCGGAGCCCUGCCGAGGCGAGAUCAUCACCAACCUCCGGAGCGCCGUCACGCUGCCGGAGAACUCUUCUACCUAUCCGUCUCUCUUGCUGGAUCAAGAAGGCCGAGAUCAUCGUCGAGCUGUACGUGUGCUGAACGCGGAGGUACCGUCCGUUCGGCACUAGAUCGUGGGACUGAUCGCGGGACGGUUCGCAGGGCGGAUCGAGGGACGUGAGGACGUUCUACUACAUCAACCGCGUUCACAACGCUUCUGCUGUACGGUCUACAAGGGUACGUAGAUCUCACAUCCCCUCUCGUAGAUGGACAUCACCAUGAUAGGUCUUCGUGUGCGUAGGAAUUUUUUUGUUUCCAAUGCGACGUUCCCCAACAAUAGUGAGGCGCAUAAAUUAGCAAGGAUGGCUACAACCCUAGGUUUAGGGCGUCAUCUUUGGCUCCAGCGUCCUCCUGACAACUUAUGUAUUCCCCAAGACAUUAUGUGUUGAAUAAAGUGGGUUGUCAAUAAAAAAAAGACUAAAAAGGAUGAGAAAACAAGGAUUCAAUGUUUGGAACCAACGACCACUCGUUAUGAUCGAGGUGCUCUAACCACUAGGCCAUUGCCCUUCUAGCGUGCUAACUUAGAGCCUAUUCGGCACGCCUUCACUCCCCACUUUUCAACUUCUAGCCCCAUCUAGACACGGAGCGCGGAGCGUCAUCUUUGCAACUCUGAAAAAAUGGCCAACAAGCCUCUCCGCUCUACUCUGAAAGAGCACAGAGCCAACGCGUUCGGCGCCGCUCCGCAGCUCCUCCAGCCGCUCUAGGAGCGGAGACCUGCCGAACAGGCACUUAUUUUGCUCCCUCGCUUUAUUUUUCCUUUGGUUCACAAAAGCCGGCUUUUCCCAGUUCCUGGUUCAGUUUACGGAUAGUUUUACUCUUUUUUCUAUUUUUCCAUUCAUUUUUAUAGAUGCGUGAUUUUCUAAAGGAAUUCUGUGUUUUAUUUAAUUGCUGAACGUUUUUCAGAUUUGAUGAAUGAUUUUUCAAAUUCAUUGGUUUUUUAUAAAAUUGAUGAACUUUUUUCAGAUUACAUGAACUUUUUAAAUUCAAUUAACAUUUUUUUAGUUCAAUUUUUUUUAAAACCGAAGACCUUUUUAAAAUAAUCGAUGAAAAUCUUUUAAAAAUAUUAAUGAUCUUUUUCCGAAUUUGAUGUACUUUUCAAAAUUUGAUGAUUUUUUUAAAAAAACAAUGAACUUUUUCCAAAUUUGAUGAACUUUUUUCGAAAUUUAAUAAACAUUUUUUUAAAUCAAUGUAAUUUUUAAAAAUCAAUGAACUUUUUUUGGAUUUGAUGAACUUUUUUAUAUUUUUAUCAACCUUUUUUAAAAUCAAAUAACUUUUUUAAACUAGUUGAACUUUUUUCAAAGUUGUGAACAAUUUGAAAUUUACAUACAUAUUUUUGAAUUCAUAGAUUAUCUGCUUUUUCCAUUUUUUAUUUGAAAGUCAAUAAUGAUUGGUCAACAGUUGACUGAUCAACCGACUAGUCAGCAGCGAGACGAAACACAUGCAUGUUGGACCGGCCCAAUAGUGCGCCUCGUGAGCGCCGCGGCCCCUAGUUUGACUAGGAGCUCCCGAAGUGUAGAUCUUUCAAAGAUUAUAUAUUUUAAAGCCUGAUUCGUAGAUGUAUAUUUUCAUCAAUUAAGUAUAAUAUGUACAUACUAACAUACUCCCUCCAUUUCAUAAUGCGUCCGUGUGUUCUCGAAAUCUAAGUUUGACCAUCGAUUUAACCAACAAGACCGAUUACGGCGGGAACAAAAAUUAUACCACUGAAUUUGUAUUGACAAACGAAUUCAGUGGUAUAAUUUUUGUUCCCGCCGUAGUCGGUCUCGGUGGUUGAAGUGAUGAUCAAACAUGGAUUUCUGAAAGCACGGAGCACACUGCAUUAUGGAACGGAAGAAGUACAAGGAGAAGAUAGUAUGCGACUAGCCAACGCCAUUUUUCUAACACGAAUAUAAUGCUAGAGAGAAUUUAACCAAGAGUGGAUUAUAUCAAAGUAUCAAGAAUGUCUAAGAACUUUGUCUUGGUUCUAUGCUUGACUAGCAAAAGGUCUUGUUUGAGCUUAUAUUUCCAAGAUCUCAUGUUUUGGUUCAUUACUGAAGAUGGUUCCGUCUUUCAAAGAAUUUUGCCUCAAAAAAAAUGUUUCAAGGAAUUAGCGGUUUUGUUACUUUUUUAGGUACCCGAAAAGAUUUCUCGUAUCAGUCACGUUUCUAUUUCAUUUCUUUUUUCUUCAUGUCGGACCUUUUUCUUUCUUCCUUUAUACUAGAUCUUGCCGGAAACGACAACUCCAUCAUCUACCUUAGAGGAAAGACAUGGCCGCAUUAUGUAUCUUAUUAAGGGAAAGACAUGGCUCAGUCGUCUAUCUUAGGGUUUGAGGGUGUAGGGGAUCAUUGUAGUUGUUUUUUUUGUGUGACGGGGCUUAGAGAGAUGGGGUCGGGGCGGCAACUAGCACGAGGUGGGAAUAGAGUAGAGGGGAGAGCAGACAGCAAGGCGGCACCGGACACCGGACCGGGGUGAGGGUGGGGGUAGAGGCAGCCGGUUAGGCCUGGUUUGACCAGCAACUACGCGAGGUAGAAGAUUAACAAUGUCCGGUCUGUUUUGAGACGUUGAAUGAAGACCGGAUGACCCUCUGAAAAUUUCGUUCAAAUACUCAUCAACCUGAAGGGCUGACCACCCCUUUAGGAUGGUAAGACCGGGCGGAGACGAUUUCAGUGUUUUGACCCUUUUUAUAUACUUUAGCCCGAUAUGUCACUGUUUGCGAUUUUUUUUUGGAUUUGAUCUUUUUUUCUAUCGUCACCCGUUGUGACGGUAGGCAAACACAUCCUACGGUCAGAAAUAAUGACGGUAGGAUCGUUUGACUCCGGUGACCCAAAGAAACCAUCCGUAUUAACCCGACUCCUAUCGUAACUGUCUUUAACGAUAGGAUGUGUAUGUCUAACGUCACAACAGAUGGCGAUAGGAAAGAAAGAGUCAGACCCAAAAAAAACAUAAACAUGUCGGAUCGGGCUAAAGUUAGCGAAAAGGAUCAAAACAGUUAAUUUGUCCACCAGGCAGCCCUGAAUGAAAGUGAUUAAUGUAACUUAUUUUUCCAGUUAACUCAUACAUAGGCGGUCCCAGGAAUUUAAAAACAAUGCAAGUAGUGGCACAGAGAAGUUGGUACACCAGCCUUGGGCGGUUCUUCAUUUCUACGGUCACAAAGCAGUGAGUGGUGUUCCGGGAAUCCGGGACAAACACGUACAUCAGCAAGUGCGUAGGAGGUAGCCCUUGAUGGAAGGAAAAUACGCUUCCGCCUAUGUUGAUGGACGUAUGCUUCCGCCGUCCCGAUCGAUCAAUGCAAGCAUGUCCUCCCUAUUCUAUGCAUAAGAAACAUCAGAUUAUACUUUUUCUCUAUCUAAAUACUCCAUCCGUUUAUAAAUAUAAGUUUUUUUUAAAAGAUUUUAUUAAAUGUUUACAUACAAGCAAAAUGAAUGGAUCUAUAUUUUUAAAUAUAUUUAUAUACAUCCGUAUUUAGUCUAUUAGUAAAACAUCUACUACCUCCGUUCCAAAAUAUAAGACCUUUUAGGGAUUUCACUAGAAGACUACAUACGGAGUAAAAUGAGUGAAUCUAUACUCUAAAAUAUGUCUAUGUACAUCCGUAUGUACUUUAUAGUACAAUCUCUAAAAGAUCUUAUAUUUAGGAACGGAGGGAGUAGAAAAACUUGUAUUUAGAAAGGGAGGGAGUACAUGUUAUUGAAAACACUAAUGCAAAUACUCCAACUACAACUAUUAUGAUACACCAGAGUAGUAUGAAACAAAUCGACACAACCUAAACCAUGUCCUGUCUCGACGAAACUAAUUAGAGCAUGCAAAAAGGUUUUUUCCUGCUUUGUAUUACAAAGCAACUAGCCGAAACAUCCAUCGAUAAGUGAUGGGACGGAAACAACACAGUCAGUCCAAAAGAAUUGAAAAAAUAAUACAAAAGAAACAAAUGCAAACACCGACGGAUCGACAAAAACGAAGAAGCCGCGCGACCGUUGCGUCCACUAGGGAUUUUCCACCAAGCUCCACGAUUCUAAAGCAUCGGUGCUAAUCAACACCUCUAAGAAGGAACACGACGAUUGCGAUGCUCCUGCUAAGGGUUUUCUCCGGUACGCGGCGAGGCGCGACGAAGGGUAGCCCCCGACGCCCUCCACGAAGGUUCGGCGACACCCCGUCGUGUUGGCCGGGCCGACAGGGGUUUCCCCCGAUACCAACCUGCACCUCGGGCGCUCCGGAGCCUUCCACCAAACCAACCUUCACCCUACGUCAUCACGGUCUUGAAGCCCCUACGCCGUCUCACCACGACAUCGCAAGGUGAGGCCAACACAACGACGAAAAGGAGUCGGGACUAGGAACAGCAGCACCAUUGACACGCGGGAGGGCUCAACCUCCACCGUCAAUGGCGGUAGCCGAUCGGACACAAUAACUGGAGCAUACCACACCCGUGGGCCCACAAACCCGACCAUGACCUCAAAGCUCAUAAGAAUCCCACCAUUGCGCUGCAACAGGCACGUCGUCAACGUCUCUGCCCCCCGUGCAAGUUGCUCCUCCUCCUCACCACGCAGAAGACAUCGAAGUCACGCCGGGUGUCGGCCCGCUAGGACCCAGAUGGGGCCCACAAGGCCCAGAUCUGGGUCAGGGGUGCCAUCGGCCACCCCGCGCCACCAUGCCGCCCCGCCACCCCGCCGCCAAGGAGCAACGCCGCCACAUCACCCAUCGCCGGCCACCGCCGACGGGUCAUCGGAUGGCCGCCUAGCCGAGUGAUACAUCUCCAUCGUAUCUACUUUUCCAAACUCUUUUGCCCUUGUUUUAGACUCUAAUUUGCAUGAUUUGAAUGGAACUAACCCGGACUGACGUUGUUUUCAGCAGAAUUGCAAUGGUGUUGUUUUUGUGCAGAAAUGAAAGUUCUCGGAACGUCCUGAAAACUUACGGAGAAUAUUUCUGGAAAAUAUGAAAAAUACGUGCGCAAAGAUCCACCGGAGGGGAUGGGCCAGUGGGCCACAAGCCCUGUUGCCGCGCCCCCUGGCCGCGGCAACCAAGCUUGUGGGGCCCACGUGGCUCUGCCACCCCCAAACUCAGCUCUAUAAAUUCACUUUCGUCCCGAAAAAAUUAGAAGAGAAGAUUUCAUCGUGUUUGCGAUACGGAGGCGCCGCCACAUCAUGUUCUUCAUCUGGAGGGCAGAUCUGGAGUCCGUUUUGGGCUCCGGAGUGGGGAAAUCGUCGCCAUCGUCAUCAUCAACCUUCUUCCCUCUCCAAUUCCAUGAAGCUCUUCAUCGUUCUUGAGUAAUCUAUUCGUAGGCUCGCUGGGCGGUGAUGAGUAGGAUGAGAUCUAUCAUGUAAUCGAGUUAGUUUUGAUGGGGAUUGAUCCCUAGUAUCCACUAUGUUCUGAGAUUGAUGUUGCUACUACUUUGCCAUGCUUAAUGCUUGUCACUAAGGCCCGAGUGCCAUGAUUUCAGAUCUGAAAUUAUUAUGUUGUCACAAAUAUAUGUGUGUUUUAGAUCCGAUCUUGCAAGUUGUAGUUACGUACUAUGUGUUAUGACCCGGCAACCCCGGAGUGACAAUAACCGGAACCACUCCCAGUGAUGACCAUAGUUUGAGGAGUUCAUGUGUUCACCAAGUGCUAAUGCGUUGUUCCGGUUCUUUAUUAAAAGGAAAACCUUAAUAUCUUGUAGUAUCCUCUUGGACCCCGCUGCCACGGGAGGGAUGGAGAAUAGAUGCCAUGCAAAUUCUUUUCCCUAAGCACGUAUGACGACACACGGAAUGCAUGCCUACAUCACAUUGAAGAAUGGGAGCUAGCCAGAUAUCUCUCCGUGUUAUAACUGUUGCACGAUGAAUGUCAUCCAAACGAAUCACCGACCCAUUGCCUACGAGUUUGUCCACUGCUAUUACUUGUUUUGCUCUGCUGCUGUUACUACUGUUGCUGCUGCUAUUACUUGCUCUGCUCUGCUGCUACUUGCUACUGCUGUUACUUGCUACUGUUGCUACUUGCUACUGCUGUCACUACUGUUGUUCCUUGCCAUUGUUGUUACUCGUUACACUGCUGCUACCUGCUACAAUACGUUUUCUCUCAAUGUUGACGGGAAAGAAUAUUUCCCGUCCACGGGCAACUUCUGGCGCCAUUGAUACGACAGUUAGGAAUAGUCUGCCUUGUCAACAGAUCGUUUCUAACAUCGUUGUUAUCAUACUACUUUGCUGCUGAUACUUUGCUUGCAGAUACUAAUCUUUCAGGUGUGGUUGAAUCUGACACAUUCAGGUGCUAAUACUUGAGAAUAUUCUUUCACUUCCCGUUGGGCGAACCAACAAAUUUGGGUUGAAUACUCUACUCUCGAAAACUGCCGCGAACCCAUGCGCUGGUGGGCCAUUGCAAGACAAUUGCUAAUUGUGGAGCAACUGGGAGCAGUUCUGGAUGUGUUGCGGCGGAGGCAUCAAGUCAGGAACAUGUCAACAUCACUUUUCUAGUGUCGUUGCCGGGGACUGCUAGCACCACUUUUCUGGCGCCUUUGCCGGGGAGCGGAUUGCUAUAUUCUCUGAGUCACUUGGGAUUUAUAUCUGCUGAUCACUAUGAAGAAUUUGAAAGAUCCAAAAACCAAAGUCUUGCCCUCAACUACGAGGGAAGGUAAGGAACUGCCAUCUAGCUCUGCACUUGAUUCACCUUCAGUUAUGAGUAAGUUUGCGACAUCACCUCCUGCUAGAAAUCUUGAUAUGUCGCCUGUGCUUGAUGAUGAUUAUGAUGCUACUGCUAGAGAUGCUAUGCCUGAUGAUGCUAGAGAUGCUAUUUUUCAUGAUGAUGCUAUGCUUGAUAUUGCUAGAGAUACUAUGCCUGAUACUGCUAGAGAUACUAUGCCUGAUACUGCUAGAGAUGCUAUGCCUGAUGAUGCUAGAGAUGCUAUUUUGCCUGAUGAUGCUAUGCUUGAUACUACUAGAGAUACUACUUUGCCUGAUAUGCCACUAGGGGUAUUCCUUGAUGCUCAUAUUGCUAGAGUUAUUGCCAAUGCUCGUGAUGCUUCUGAAACUGCCGAUACUAUUGAGAUAGAACCUGCUUUUGCUCCUGCUAGAUCUAGCUCUCCUAGAUAUGAAUUGCCAGAUAUACCUGAGGGUUACGUUAUGGAGGGAGAGAUAGCUGAGUAUUUUCUUGCGUGUAAGGAUGCCUAUGACGCUGAGAAAUUACUUCUCAAGUGGAAGGAAAAAUCUCUGAAAGCUAGGAUGAAAUAUGACCCGAAGUUUGCCACUUCACCUAUCUUUAUCACUGAUAAGGAUUAUGAAUUCUCUGUCGAUCCUGAGAUAAUCUCUCUAUUCGAAUCUGAUCCUUUCCACGUUCUGCGUCUGAGACGGUCGUAGCCCAUCUUACCAAACUACACGAUAUAGCCACCCUUUUCACUAGUGAGGAGAAGAUCCGCUACUACUAUAUCCUUAAGCUGUUUCCUUUCUCUCUAAAGGAUGACGCUAAAGCCUGGUUCACUUCUCUUGCUCCUGGAUGUGUGAGUAGUCCCCAGGAUAUGGUCUAUUACUUCUGUGAGAAAUAUUUCCCUGCCCAUAAGAAGCAAGCUGCCUUGCAGGAAAUAUACAAUUUUGCUCAACUCAAAGAAGAGAGUCUUCCACAAGCUUGGGGGAGGCUCGUCCAGCUGCAAAAUGCUUUGCCUGAUCACCCUCUUAAGAAGAACGAGAUACUUGAUAUCUUCUAUAACGGACUUACCGAUGCCUCUAGAGACCACCUAGAUAGUUGUGCCGGUUGUGUUUUUAGGGAACGAACUGUAGAACAAGCUGAGACUCUACUGAAUAACAUCUUGAUCAACGAUAAUGCUUGGACUAUUCCCGAACCACCUCCUAAGCCAACUCCGAAGAAAAGAGGUAUUCUAUUCCUUAGUCCCGAAGAUAUGCAAGAAGCCAAGAAAUCUAUGCAAGAGAAAGGCAUUAGAUCUGAAGAUGUCAAAAAUCUACCACCUAUCGAAGAGAUACAUGGUCUCGAUAACCCGAUACAGGUAGUAGAAGUAAAUUCUCUGCGUAGGUUUGAUGAGAGUGAUAUUCAUUUUGACAAACCUGUUAGCUUAUGCUUUGAUGAAUUUGACAACUUUGUUGCCAAACAACAGAGUUUCAAUGAUUAUGUUAGCAGACAUUUGAAACAAAGUACUCGUAUGCUUAGUCAUUUAAGUGCUUGUGUAGACAGAAAUGUCAAUGAUCUGAAGCUUCUGAGUAAACAUGCCUCUAUGAUUACUACUCAGGUAGAACAAGUACUUAAAGGUCAAAAUGACUUGCUCAAUGAAUUAAAUGACAACUCUGUCAAAGUCGUUACUAGAGGAGGCAAAAUGACUCAGGAACCUUUGUAUCGUGAAGGCCAUCCUAAGAGAAUGAAUCAAGAUUCUCAAGGAAUUAAUGCUGAUACACCGAGUCAUCCUAAAGAGAAGAAGAAGGAUGAUAGAAACCUACAUGUUAGCUCACCAAAUACUGUCACACCUCAAGAACCAAAUGAUAUUUCUGCGUCUCAUGCAGAAACACAAUCUGGUGAUGAACAUGAACCUGGUGACAAUAUGGACAGCGAUGUUCAUAAUGAUGCUCAACCUAGCAAUGAUAAGGAUGUGGAGAUUGAACUUACGGUUAAUCCUGAUAACCCACAACCUAAGAAAUACGAUAAGAAUGACUUCACUGCUAGGAAGCAUGGUAAAGAAAGGGAUCCAUGGGUUCAGAGACCUAUGCCCUUUCCUCCUAAGCCAUCCAAGAAAAAGGAUGAUGAGGAUUUUGAGCGCUUUAUUGAAAUGAUAAGACCCGUCUUUCUGCAGAUGCGGUUAGUUGAUAUGCUCAAAAUGUCUCCAUAUGCCAAGUACAUGAAAGAUAUCGUGACCAAUAAAUGGAAGAUACCAGAUCUUGAGAUCUCCACCAUGCUUGCCAAUUACACUUUCAAAGGUGGAACUCCUAAGGAACUUGGUGAUCCCGGAGUGCCCACUAUACCUUGCUCCAUUAAAGGAAACUACGUAAGAACUGCCUUAUGUGACCUUGGAGCCGGUGUUAGUGUUAUCCCGCUCUCUUUUUAUCGUAGACUUGAACUAGAUAAGUUGACACCCACUGAAAUCUCUGUGCAAAUGGCCGACAAAUCAACUGCUUUCCCUGUCGGCAUUUGCGAGGAUGUGCCUGUUGUGGUUGCUAACACCACUAUCUGAACAAACUUUGUUAUCUUGGAUAUUCCCGAGGACGAUGCCAUGGCUGUCAUCCUCGGAAGACCCUUUUUAAACACUGCAGGGGCUGUUAUAGAUUGCAACAAAGGCAAUGUCACUUUCCAUAUCAACGGUAAUGAGCAUACCGUGCACUUUUCGAAGAAACGAUAUCAAGUACAUUGCAUCAAUGCUAUCGAAAAAACUUCAUCGAUUCUUAUUGGGAGUUUUCCCGUGUAAAUAGUUUUCUUUUCCUUUGGGUCAAGGUAGAAGAUAUUGGUUACAAUGUUUAGU